GCUGCCUCGCGGAGGGCGGAGUGUCGGGCGCUUCUUCGGGGCCCUCGGGCCGGGCCGGGGUCGGUGCCCAGCGGGCCAGCCCCUCCCGGGCUCCCGGGGGUCUCCUGCGGGGCGCAGUUGUGUCCUCGCGCCGCUCCAGUUGUGGCCUGGACACCUCCGCUCGCUUUGUUUCCCUUUUCUUAACGAUGACAGUCGAGUGCCCGAAAACCGUCGUUGGUUACAUUUUGUCUGAUCUUUUACUUGUUGGAGAUGGGCCUAAGCUACUGCACGUAGGCAGAGCGCACGCUUGCGUCUUCUGAAAACCUGGUCAAGCCCCUCUCCAUGGUGCUGUUCGGUGCCCUCUGCGAGGGCACUCACAUGACUGAUUUAUUCUCGAGUUUCUCAAGCAUGAACCGAGUGUUCUGGGAGUAGUGUGAAGAGAGAGGACGGUGGAAGACGAGUGACGGCUGGGGGUGUACGUAGACGGGCAGAUGUGCUUCUUUGCUGUGCUUAGUCCCGCAGGGGAGGAUGUGGAUGCACCUACGGUGCACAAGCUCUGCCUCUGCUCUGCCUAAAACCAAGCUGCCGUGUGCGGCACCGUAUUGAAGGGAUGUGUGCAUAAACACUGUGACGAGAAGGGUGACGGUGCCUGCACGCCUCACGGGAGGGGUCCAGGGAUGGGAGGCUAGUCACGUGGGAAACAUUUCUAUGGAGGGGAAUCCAAUAUUGCCUCUUGCCCGUGGAGGAGACGAUGCCGAGAAAGCGUCGACACUCUGGAAUGGCAGCUGGAGUUUGUGUGCUGCUUGGGGGUGAGGUUUUGCCACGAUCACCCUAGAGACAAGUCCCGGACAGUGAUGUUGGGAACCUAUGGAUCUCGGGUACGUCCUGCCCACGGGGUUUGAGUUUGCCCGUCUGCGUGGCCUCCACCAGACCCCUACGUGGAUGGGAAUGGUUUGGCUGCCUCGACACCCUCCUUCUUUCCUAUUUAAUAUCUCGGUACUCUCCAACUUCUCCUUUGUCAUCUACAAAAUGCUCUUUAUCCUACACGAUGCAUGUUCCGUGCCUACCUGUGUUCACGCAGUCCUUGAUGCUGAAAAUAUCCGUAAGGAGCCGAAGCCAAUGGCACUGGGUCCGUCUUCCUCCUUAAUAUAACGUUCAGUGUUGAAAGCAUCACCGAGAACAGGUGUCCUUCCGUUUGUUUCUCGUAAUCUUUAGUAUUGCCUUUAGCUUUCUAACCCUUCUAGAUUUAUUACUGAUCUCUGGUUUUAAUCUUGCUUCUGCCCAGCUACUUCCCUUUUUCAAAUAACUCAAAAUCCUUGUCUGUAUUUUGUGACACGUGAGGUUCAGCAGUUGUUGGGAGAUCUGCUGUCUCUCCUUGUCCCACAGCAGCGGUCACUGUAGAAACGCAGAUGUACUGGUGGGAAUUUCUAAAGUAUUUUCUCUCCUAGAGAUUAUACUAGACUUUUGUCUUAUGUUUGGUAAAGAAAGAAAAAAGAGCCGAAGGCGAGUUGCUUUAACUCCUGUGGCAAAAUGCAUGCAUGUGUUUUUAUAUCUGUGACCAGAGGCACAAUGAUUGCAUCAUUCCUGUUCACGGUACCAUAGUGGUAAAGUAACACCGAUGAAAAUACUCGUGCACUGGAGAAAUGGGGAGGAAUCAUCUUACUUCGGUUCCUUGUCUGUAGAGUCGUGGGUAUAACAGAAGAGCUCUGUUAAAAACUUGUUUUCUGAACAGAAGGUGGAGCACGUUCGUGCUUUAUUGUGGAAUCCAGGAUAUUUGGAAGCAAUUUAUCACUUUGGUAAAGAGCGGUGUCCUGUUAUGAUCUAAGGACAGACGUGAUAAAGAUAUUCAUGCUAAAAAAUGCUGUGACCACAAUGUGCCAGGCGUUGAAAAAAUCUUGUCAAAAGCAAUUAGUACAUAUUCAUUGUAUUAAAGGAGUUUGAUUGGGUAAUGUGA